rnacentral:rRNA from 1 species
UGAACCUCAGAUCAGG